rnacentral:rRNA from 1 species
GGGGGAUUUUCCGCAAUGGGCGAAAGCCUGACGGAGCAAGACCGCGUGGGGGAGGAAGGUUCUUGGAUUGUAAACCCCUUUUCUCAGGGAAGAACACAAUGACGGUACCUGAGGAAUCAGCAUCGGCUAACUCCGUGCCAGCAGCCGCGGUAAUACGGAGGAUGCAAGCGUUAUCCGGAAUAAUUGGGCGUAAAGCGUCCGUAGGUGGCUGUUCAAGUCUGCCGUUAAAGACCGGGGCUUAACCCUGGAAAGGCGGUGGAAACUGAACGGCUAGAGUGCAGUAGGGGUAGAGGGAAUUCCCAGUGUAGCGGUGAAAUGCGUAGAGAUUGGGAAGAACACCGGUGGCGAAAGCGCUCUGCUGGACUGCAACUGACACUGAGGGACGAAAGCUAGGGGAGCGAAUGGGAUUAGAUACCCCAGUAGUCCUAGCCGUAAACGAUGGAUACUAGGUGUGGCCUGUAUCGACCCGGGCCGCGCCGUAGCUAACGCGUUAAGUAUCCCGCCUGGGGAGUACGCACGCAAGUGUGAAACUCAAAGGAAUUGACGGGGGCCCGCACAAGCGGUGGAGUAUGUGGUUUAAUUCGAUGCAACGCGAAGAACCUUACCAGGACUUGACAUGUCCGGAACCUACUGGAAACAGAAGGGUGCCUUCGGGAACCGGAACACAGGUGGUGCAUGGCUGUCGUCAGCUCGUGUCGUGAGAUGUUGGGUUAAGUCCCGCAACGAGCGCAACCCUCGUCCUUAGUUGCCAUCAUUAAGUUGGGCACUUUAGGGAGACUGCCGGUGACAAACCGGAGGAAGGUGGGGAUGACGUCAAGUCAGCAUGCCCCUUACGUCCUGGGCUACACACGUACUACAAUGCUACGGACAAAGGGCAGCAAGUUAGCAAUGACAAGCAAAUCCCAUAAACCGUGGCUCAGUUCAGAUCGCAGGCUGCAACUCGCCUGCGUGAAGGCGGAAUCGCUAGUAAUCGCCGGUCAGCAUACGGCGGUGAAUCCGUUCCCGGGCCUUGUACACACCGCCCGUCACACCAUGGGAGUUGGCCACGCCCGAAGUCGUUACCCUAACCUGCAAAGGAGGGGGACGCCGAAGGCAGGGCUGAUGACUGGGGUGAAGUCGUAACAAGGUAGCCGUACCGGAAGGUGUGGCUGGAUCACCUCCU